ACUUGGAUAUGGAUUCUUCACGGUAACGUAACUGAAUGUGGAGACGUCGGCGUGAGCCCUGGGAGGAGUUCUNUNUUCUUCUNAACAGCUUAUCACCCUGGAAUUGGUUUAUCCGGAGAUAGGGUNUUAUGGCUGGAAGAGUGCAAUACUUUUGUUGCAUCCGGUGCGCUUACGACGGUCCUUGAAAAUCCACAGGAAGGAAUAGUUUUCAUGCCAAGUCGUACU
rnacentral:rRNA from 1 species